UACGUAGGGGGCGAGCGUUGUUCGGAAUUACUGGGCGUAAAGGGCGCGUAGGCGGCCCCUUUUGUCGCGUGUGAAAGCCCCGGGCUCAACCUGGGAGGUGCGCGCGAAACGGGGGGGCUUGAGUUCGGGAGAGGAGCGUGGAAUUCCCAGUGUAGAGGUGAAAUUCGUAGAUAUUGGGAAGAACACCGGUGGCGAAGGCGGCGCUCUGGACCGAGACUGACGCUGAGGCGCGAAAGCGUGGGGAGCAAACAGG
rnacentral:rRNA from 1 species